UACCGCAGCGUCCUGCGCUGGGGGGGCUCUGCGCUUCUCCCAGCAGCACUGUCCCCACAGCCUACCAAAGCCUCAAGCUUUUGCUUGCAGAUAAUUAAUAGCAAACGUUUACAUAUGGAAAAACAAUGCGGUGGAGCCUGCGUCAGGUUUCUCCUUUGAUGCUCGCUGUAUGCUCGCUGUCUCUAACAGCACGUCAGGGCACGGCUGCGGCACACGGGGAGCCGGCGGCGGCGCCUUCCCAGAGAAGAAGCAGCAGAGAUGUUAAUUCCCCAGCUCCUGUCAACUGUCAGCUGAGCCAGUGGUCAGCGUGGACUGAUUGCUUUCCUUGCCAAGGAAAAAGACACCGGUACCGGACGCUGGUGCAGCCCGCGGGGUUCGCGGGGCAGCGCUGCACGGGGAACCUCUGGGAUGAGCAAGCUUGCCGUGCCGGGGAGACCUGCACCAGAGCCCCCAGCUGCGGGAAGGACUUUCGGUGCGAGGAGACCGGUCGCUGUAUUAAACGACAUCUCGUGUGCAACGGCGAGACAGACUGCAGAGAUGGGUCUGAUGAGAGUAACUGCGAGGAUGAAGAUAUUGAAAGCCCCUGUGAAGACCUGUACCCAAUCCCAGGGUCUGAAAAAGCAGCACAGGGAUACAACAUCCUAACACAGGAGGAGAAGCAGUACGUGUACGAUCCUAAUUUUGGUGGGGGGCAUUGCGAGUACGUCUACAACGGGGAGUGGCGGGAGCUGAAGUACGACGCUGCCUGCGAACGCCUCUACUACAUGGACGACGAGAAGUAUUUCCGCAAGCCUUACAACUUCCACGUGUACCAGUUCCUAGCUCAUGCUGAUUCUGGAUUCUCUUUUGAGUUUUAUGAAGAUUCAAAAGAUCUGCUUAAUGCCCUUGGAAGUAGUAAAAGCAGAGGAGGUGGUUUUACCUUCGGGAUUGGACCCAAAUCAGUACCUGUAAUGCUAAACCUCGGCUUUUCUUUAUCACGUGGCAAAGGAUCCCUGAAGAAUUUCACAGAAUACAAUGCAAAGGAUGUUGGAUUCAUUAGAGCUGUGACCAAGGUGCAGACGGCCCGUUUCAAGAUGAGAAGGAACAACAUCGUUUUGGAUGAAGACAUGCUCCUCUCCCUGCAAGAGCUUCCAGACACAUACAACUAUGGCAUGUACGCCAAAUUCAUCGACACCUACGGCACCCAUUUCAUGACAUCCGGCACUAUGGGAGGUGUCUUUGAGCACAUCCUGGUUGUUAACAAAGAGGAAAUGAGACGAAAAGAAAUCCGCUCUGAAGAAGUCAUGGCCUGUUUUGGGCUCUCAGCUGGCGUUUCGGUCAACAAGUUUGGGAUGGGAGUGGGAGCAUCCGUGUCAUACUCUCAGUGUGAUAAUAAAAAACUUCUGGAAGAGGAUGAGCAGAGCCACAGUGCCAUUGUGGAAGAUAUUAUUCCCCGGAUUAAAGGCGGAGAUACUGCUACCAGUGGAGGGCUCUUAAACAGUUGGGACGGCAACAUGUAUCGUCGCUGGGGAAGGUCAUUAAAAUACAAUCCUGCUAUUAUUGAUUUUGAGCUGCAGCCCAUCCACGAAAUUCUCCGCAGGAGCGACCUGAGCAACAUGGAAACCAAGCGGCAGCACCUGAAGCGGGCUCUGGAUGAUUACUUGCUGGAGUUCAACGCCUGCCGCUGCGGACCGUGCCAGAACGAUGGCGAGCCCAUUCUGGUGGGCGACACGUGUGCUUGCCAGUGCCAGCCGGGGUACGAGGGCCAUGCCUGCGAGCGGAGCAGGCGCCCAGGCACUGGGACGAGCGGGCGCUGGAGCUGCUGGUCACCCUGGGCUCCCUGCCAGGGGGGCUCCAGGAGGCGCAGCCGGCAGUGCACCAACCCUGCCCCGCAGCACGGCGGGGCACCCUGCAUGGGGACGAGCGUGCAGAGCAAAGCGUGCUAAAAUCAGCACCGCUCCCCACCGGUACGUGCUCGAGGUGUUUUGGUGUCUGUGCUGGGCAAUAAAUACAGUGGGCAUAACUCUGCAACUGAAUUACGCUGGGGACAAAGAAUUGCAUUUACACACGUAGGGGGAUGAGCUGGAUUUGCUGUACAAAACACAGCUGCUGUCCAGACAAAUUGCUCGGGCUGACUGCAUGCAUGCCUGGCUGCACCCUGCUCCACCAGUGCUCUGGCUGGAUGGGUCCACUGGUGUCCCCACCAGGUCAACUGGUGUCCCCACUGGGUCCACUGGUGUCCCCAUUGGGUCUGCUGGUGUCCCCCCACCAUGUCACAGCCGUGCUGCCAGAACACAGGAGGUGGCAGAGAACCAGCACAGGAGGCUUUGCUGCUGCGUGUCCAUUUCUCGCUGCUCAUGAAAUACAUUUACUAAAACUGUUUACUUAAGUAAGCUUCACUCGCAGAAAUUUUUAUGUUUGCCUUUGGAAAACAAAUUAAAAGCCCGCGAUCCUUGCA